GUGCUUGCUUAGGCAGCACAUGUACUAAAAUUGGAGCGAUGCAGGGAAGAUUAGCAUGGCCCCUGCGCAAGGAUGACCCAAAAUUCGUGAAGCAUUCCAUAUUUUU
ensembl:snRNA U6 U6 spliceosomal RNA